UGACCUGGCCCAAAUAACCCAACUAAAUAUUUCAAUCUCUCCUCCAUUUUCAUUGAACCACAAUUCAGAGUCAAAAAUCACCGCUUCCAAUCCGUCGGCGAAAGACCGGCGACACCACUCCCAUCACCCUUGGACCAUGGAUGAAUUCCACUCUCAACAACCUCCCAAUGCUCCAAAGAGCUCUGAAAAAUUGAGUUUUCGCUCUUUUUUUCAUCAUCUCCUCUCAAAAUCACUCGGAAAAUUUCCCCCUUAUUUUGGUUUUCAUAAUUUUAAACAGCUUCGUUGAGGAUCUAAGUUUCAGUUUUUAGGUUACUCAGUUGAAUAAGCUUUUCAUAGGUAAAGACUCAGGGCUUUUUACUGAUUCGCUGUCUCGGAGAAGGUCAGCAUCUUCCAUUUUCCUAGGUCUAUAAAUGAAUGUGUGGAUAAUUGAAUGUUCUUGCUGCUCAACAAUUUUUUUGUUUUACACAUACAAACUUUUUAUUUUUAUUUGAUAAAAAUCAGCAUGUGAUGGCUAAUAUGAACUGAAAAUCCUAAGCAAAAAUAAAUUACUGAUCAGUUAAUUUAUCAAAUAGGUGAUUAACAUCGUUGCUCGUCUAAUUUUUGAGUUGAGAAUUACUAGAAUAUGUUUUACUUUAUUCUUUUUUUAGAAAUUUAUAUGAGAGUUUUAAAAUGUACUUGAACACUUGGGAGGAAGCCACUAAUUCAUAGAAGAAUUUUAUUUUUUAUCAGAAUUUGUGACUGCUAGAAUAAUAUUGUUGCUCAUCUAAAAUUUGUUUCCAAUGCUCUUUAUGAACAACAUAUUGACAAUAAUAGAGAGAGGGCUGAGAAAUUAGGCACAUAAAGCUUGGAUUUCAAGAUUCUCAAUAUAUCACAUUCAUGUCAUUGAAUACUUGAAGAAAGCAAAGAAGAGUUGCUUGAUGAUGAUGGAGAUGUCACUGGAAAAGAAAUAAUGAUAUGGAGUGACAAAACACAUUUACCACAAUUAACUACAUUUUGACUUUUUUGAUAAUUGAGUUCGAGUAAAUGGUCAUAAAUUCAGUUUUAACUAUAUGCUUGUGAUGAUUUUAACUUCUUUUUAUCUUGGCUAAUCAAUCAGCUCAGCAAGUCAGAUGCUUCUCAAGUAUAAUUUUUGCGCGUGCAGUUUUAUCAUAUUUAUUCAUUAUUUUGUUUUUACAAAGUUGUUUGCUACUAAUGUUGAUUCUCUGAAUUACUUGAGAAGCCGAGAAAAAAAUUGAGAUAGAUUGAAAGAUGCCAGAAGAACAAAGAUAAAUUUGUGUAGAAAUGGAUAGAAGGCUUCAAGAACUAAUGAGAAUAGAAGUGGACAAAAGGAUUAAAAAAAGGAUGGUUCCUACAUGUCGAGAAUUCAACAGGUAAUCUAUUUGUAUCUUUAUCGACUUUUUUGUUUUAAUUACAACACAAGUGGGCAUUUAUCAGUUCUCGGGGUUAUAAAUUUCUUAUCGAAUAAUAACCUUAAUUAUUGUGUUUUUUAUAAUUAAGAUCAGUUCUAUAACUAAGGGCACAAGUACUACUACUUAAGAUGUUAUUUCUGCAAACAAGGUGAAAUACAUGAAGUUAUUUCUCCAUUGAUUGAAACAAAGAGGUGGUUGUCCAACUUCUCUCUCUGAAAAUGCGAAGGGAAAAUUUUGUUUUUUAAGCUAAGAUAUACACCACAUAUGUUGGAAAGGCCCCCACAUUUUGGUAGAGUACUAGUUCUAUGUUGUUAUUGGCCUCAAGAGAAAACCUCGUCUUUAUGUCUAAUAGAGUUGUUAAUUAUUUUGAAUUAAGUUUAUCGUUCAAUUUUAGAAUAAAUUCCCAGAAAAUAUGAGCCCCUAUCCUUCUUUUGUUUCAUGUUUUUUUUUUACUUUUUCCAUUUUGAUGGAAUUUUUUGGCUCUUCAGUUUCAAGCGAGGGGCAAUGUUCUUACAUAAUCUCAAAUGGCGUCGACAAAGGAGGAGCUUGAAGGCACUUGAUAUUCUUUUUCAUAUGUGUAUGCAUUAAUGACAUUGAACAAUGAAAUAUUGUGAAAUAUAUAUUUUAUUGAUUUCUUAGUAAUGAAAGUACUUAUGAUAUUCAAUUUGAGAAUUA